rnacentral:rRNA from 1 species
AGAGUUUGAUCCUGGCUCAGGACGAACGCUGGCGGCGUGCUUAACACAUGCAAGUCGAACGGAGCGCCUAUGAAGGAGAUUUCGGUCAACGGAUUAGGCUGCUUAGUGGCGGACGGGUGAGUAACGCGUGAGGAACCUGCCUUUCAGAGGGGGACAACAGUUGGAAACGACUGCUAAUACCGCAUAACACAUAGCUGUCGCAUGGCAGUUAUGUCAAAGAUUUAUCGCUGAGAGAUGGCCUCGCGUCUGAUUAGCUAGUUGGUAGGGUAACGGCCUACCAAGGCGACGAUCAGUAGCCGGACUGAGAGGUUGGCCGGCCACAUUGGGACUGAGACACGGCCCAGACUCCUACGGGAGGCAGCAGUGGGGAAUAUUGGGCAAUGGGCGCAAGCCUGACCCAGCAACGCCGCGUGAAGGAAGAAGGCUUUCGGGUUGUAAACUUCUUUUCUUGGGGACGAAGAAAGUGACGGUACCCAAGGAAUAAGCCACGGCUAACUACGUGCCAGCAGCCGCGGUAAUACGUAGGUGGCAAGCGUUGUCCGGAUUUAUUGGGCGUAAAGCGAGUGCAGGCGGUUCAAUAAGUCUGAUGUGAAAGCCUUCGGCUCAACCGGAGAAUUGCAUCAGAAACUGUUGAACUUGAGUGCAGAAGAGGAGAGUGGAACUCCAUGUGUAGCGGUGGAAUGCGUAGAUAUAUGGAAGAACACCAGUGGCGAAGGCGGCUCUCUGGUCUGCAACUGACGCUGAGGCUCGAAAGCAUGGGUAGCGAACAGGAUUAGAUACCCUGGUAGUCCAUGCCGUAAACGAUGAGUGCUAAGUGUUGGGAGGUUUCCGCCUCUCAGUGCUGCAGCUAACGCAUUAAGCACUCCGCCUGGGGAGUACGACCGCAAGGUUGAAACUCAAAGGAAUUGACGGGGGCCC